UGGCUCAGAACGAACGCUGGCGGCGUGCUUAGCACAUGCAAGUGGAGCGACGAACCAGGCUUCGGCCUGGGGCAGAGCCGCGAACGGGUGAGUAACACGUGGGUAACCCACCCCGAUGACCGGGACAACCCGAGGAAACUCGGGCUAAUACCGGAUGUACUCCUCUUCCAUAAGGGAGUUGAGGAAAGAUAGCUUCGGCCUUCGCAUCGGGACGGGCCCGCGGCGCAUUAGCUUGUUGGUGGGGUAACGGCCUACCAAGGCAAGGAUAAGUAGCUGAUCUGAGAGGAUGAUCAGCCACACUGGGACUUUUUCUCGGCCCAGGGACCUACGGGAGGCAGC
rnacentral:rRNA from 1 species